rnacentral:miRNA from 1 species
UGCUCUCUACCGUUGUCAUG